GAUUCGUCACACUAUCGUUAACUGAAUACAUAGGUUAACGAGGCGAACCGGGGGAACUGAAACAUCUAAGUACCCCGAGGAAAAGAAAUCAACCGAGAUUCCCCCAGUAGCGGCGAGCGAACGGGGAGCAGCCCAGAGUCUGAAUCAGCUUGUGUGUUAGUGGAACGGUCUGGAAAGUCCGACGGUACAGGGUGAUAGUCCCGUACACCAAAAUGCACAGGUUGUGAACUCGAAGAGUAGGGCGGGACACGUGGUAUCCUGUCUGAAUAUGGGGGGACCAUCCUCCAAGGCUAAAUACUCCUGACUGACCGAUAGUGAACCAGUACCGUGAGGGAAAGGCGAAAAGAACCCCGGCGAGGGGAGUGAAAAAGAACCUGAAACCGUGUACGUACAAGCAGUGGGAGCACCUUCGGGUGUGACUGCGUACCUUUUGUAUAAUGGGUCAGCGACUUAUAUUCUGUAGCAAGGUUAACCGUAUAGGGGAGCCGCAGGGAAACCGAGUCUUAACUGGGCGUUAAGUUGCAGGGUAUAGACCCGAAACCCGGUGAUCUAGCCAUGGGCAGGUUGAAGGUUGGGUAACACUAACUGGAGGACCGAACCGACUAAUGUUGAAAAAUUAGCGGAUGACUUGUGGCUGGGGGUGAAAGGCCAAUCAAACCGGGAGAUAGCUGGUUCUCCCCGAAAGCUAUUUAGGUAGCGCCUCGUGAACUCAUCUUCGGGGGUAGAGCACUGUUUCGGCUAGGGGGUCAUCCCGACUUACCAACCCGAUGCAAACUACGAAUACCGAAGAAUGUUAUCACGGGAGACACACGGCGGGUGCUAACGUCCGUCGUGAAGAGGGAAACAACCCAGACCGCCAGCUAAGGUCCCAAAGUCAUGGUUAAGUGGGAAACGAUGUGGGAAGGCACAGACAGCCAGGAUGUUGGCUUAGAAGCAGCCAUCAUUUAAAGAAAGCGUAAUAGCUCACUGGUCGAGUCGGCCUGCGCGGAAGAUGUAACGGGGCUAAACCAUGCACCGAAGCUGCGGCAGCGACACUAUGUGUUGUUGGGUAGGGGAGCGUUCUGUAAGCCUGCGAAGGUGUGCUGUGAGGCAUGCUGGAGGUAUCAGAAGUGCGAAUGCUGACAUAAGUAACGAUAAAGCGGGUGAAAAGCCCGCUCGCCGGAAGACCAAGGGUUCCUGUCCAACGUUAAUCGGGGCAGGGUGAGUCGACCCCUAAGGCGAGGCCGAAAGGCGUAGUCGAUGGGAAACAGGUUAAUAUUCCUGUACUUGGUGUUACUGCGAAGGGGGGACGGAGAAGGCUAUGUUAGCCGGGCGACGGUUGUCCCGGUUUAAGCAUGUAGGCUGAUUGUCCAGGCAAAUCCGGAUAAUCAAGGCUGAGGUGUGAUGACGAGGCACUACGGUGCUGAAGUAACAAAUGCCCUGCUUCCAGGAAAAGCCUCUAAGCAUCAGGUAACAUUAAAUCGUACCCCAAACCGACACAGGUGGUCAGGUAGAGAAUACCAAGGCGCUUGAGAGAACUCGGGUGAAGGAACUAGGCAAAAUGGUGCCGUAACUUCGGGAGAAGGCACGCUGGUGUGUAGGUGAAGUCCCUGCGGAUGGAGCUGAGACCAGUCGAAGAUACCAGCUGGCUGCAACUGUUUAUUAAAAACACAGCACUGUGCAAACACGAAAGUGGACGUAUACGGUGUGACGCCUGCCCGGUGCCGGAAGGUUAAUUGAUGGGGUUAUCCGUAAGGAGAAGCUCUUGAUCGAAGCCCCGGUAAACGGCGGCCGUAACUAUAACGGUCCUAAGGUAGCGAAAUUCCUUGUCGGGUAAGUUCCGACCUGCACGAAUGGCGUAAUGAUGGCCAGGCUGUCUCCACCCGAGACUCAGUGAAAUUGAACUCGCUGUGAAGAUGCAGUGUACCCGCGGCAAGACGGAAAGACCCCGUGAACCUUUACUAUAGCUUGACACUGAACAUUGAGCCUUGAUGUGUAGGAUAGGUGGGAGGCUUUGAAGCGUGGACGCCAGUCUGCGUGGAGCCAACCUUGAAAUACCACCCUUUAAUGUUUGAUGUUCUAACGUUGGCCCCUGACCGGGGUUGCGGACAGUGUCUGGUGGGUAGUUUGACUGGGGCGGUCUCCUCCCAAAGCGUAACGGAGGAGCACGAAGGUUAGCUAAUCCUGGUCGGACAUCAGGAGGUUAGUGCAAUGGCAUAAGCUAGCUUGACUGCGAGCGUGACGGCGCGAGCAGGUGCGAAAGCAGGUCAUAGUGAUCCGGUGGUUCUGAAUGGAAGGGCCAUCGCUCAACGGAUAAAAGGUACUCCGGGGAUAACAGGCUGAUACCGCCCAAGAGUUCAUAUCGACGGCGGUGUUUGGCACCUCGAUGUCGGCUCAUCACAUCCUGGGGCUGAAGUAGGUCCCAAGGGUAUGGCUGUUCGCCAUUUAAAGUGGUACGCGAGCUGGGUUUAGAACGUCGUGAGACAGUUCGGUCCCUAUCUGCCGUGGGCGCUGGAGAAUUGAGGGGGGCUGCUCCUAGUACGAGAGGACCGGAGUGGACGCAUCACUGGUGUUCGGGUUGUCAUGCCAAUGGCACUGCCCGGUAGCUAAAUGCGGAAGAGAUAAGUGCUGAAAGCAUCUAAGCACGAAACUUGCCCCGAGAUGAGUUCUCCCUGAGACUUUAAGUCUCCUGAAGGAACGUUAAAGACGAUGACGUUGAUAGGCCGGGUGUGUAAGCGCAGCGAUGCGUUGAGCUAACCGGUACUAAUGAACCGUGAGGCUUAACCUU
rnacentral:rRNA from 1 species